rnacentral:tRNA from 1 species
UGAGGAUGUACCUCUGUGGUAGAGUGCUUGCCUGACAUGUGCAAGGCCCUGGGUUCAAUCCCCAGUACCACAA